rnacentral:rRNA from 1 species
UACAGAGGGUGCAAGCGUUAAUCGGAAUUACUGGGCGUAAAGCGUGCGUAGACGGUCAUGUAAGUCGGGUGUGAAAGCCCCGGGCUCAACCUGGGAAUUGCAUUCGAGACUGCAUGGCUAGGGUGCGGAAGAGGGAAGCGGGAAUUUCCGGUGUAGCGGUGAAAUGCGUAGAUAUCGGAAAGGAACACCAGUGGCGAAAGCGACGUGCUGGACCUCUUCUGACG